GCGUUUGUGGUUUAGUGGUAAAAUCGAUCCUUGCCAUUAGUGUUUCCCACGACCAACUUGGAUUGGCCCCGGGUUCGAUUCCCGGCGAACGCA
rnacentral:tRNA from 1 species